rnacentral:rRNA from 1 species
CCUACGGGAGGCUGCAGUGAGGAAUAUUGGUCAAUGGACGAGAGUCUGAACCAGCCAAGUAGCGUGAAGGAUGACUGCCCUAUGGGUUGUAAACUUCUUUUAUAAAGGAAUAAAACGAGGCACGUGUGCCUUUUUGCAUGUACUUUAUGAAUAAGGAUCGGCUAACUCCGUGCCAGCAGCCGCGGUAAUACGGAGGAUCCGAGCGUUAUCCGGAUUUAUUGGGUUUGAAGGGAGCGUAGAUGGUUUGUUAAGUCAGUUGUGAAAGUUUGCGGCGUAACCGUAAAAUUGCAAUUGAUACUGGCAGUCUAGAGUACAGGUGAGGUAGGCGGAAUUCGUGGUGUAGCGGUGAAAUGCUUAGAUAUCACGAAGAACCCCGAUUGCGAAGGCAGCUUACUAAGCUGUGACUGACAUUGAUGCUCGAAAGUGUGGGUAUCAAACAGGAUUAGAUACCCUGGUAGUC